UAUCUCUGUAGAGUCUGCAUAUCAAUAAGCGGAGGAAAAGAAACUAACAAGGAUUCCCUUAGUAACGGCGAGUGAAGCGGGAAGAGCUCAAAUUUGAAAUCUUCAAGGUUCUACCUUGACGAAUUGUAGUUUAAAGAAGUGUUUUCUGUUAGAUGAGUAGCAAAAGUUCCUUGGAAUGGGACAUCAUAGAGGGUGAGAAUCCCGUAUUUGACUCAUUACUUCUAGCUUUGUGAUACACUUUCAAAGAGUCGGAUUGUUUGGGAAUGCAGUCCAAAAUGGGUGGUAAAUUUCAUCUAAAGCUAAAUAUUGGCGAGAGACCGAUAGCGAACAAGUACCGUGAGGGAAAGAUGAAAAGAACUUUGAAAAGAGAGUUAAACAGUACGUGAAAUUGUCAAAAGGGAAGCGUUUGACACCAGUGUUGUUUUUCCGAAAAUCAAUUACGAAUGGCUUGAUUUUGUGUUGUAUUGACCUUAUCAGCUUUCUUCACUUUUUUCGAGUCUUUCUUAAUGCACUUUUCGGUUAACAAGUCAACAUCAAUUUCUUUUGUUGUAAAAGAGUAUUCGGAAGGUGGCUUUCUUUUCGGAGAAAGUGUUUAUAGCCCUAUACUUCUACAAUCGGAGAGAUUGAGGUCUGCAGCGUAGAUCCUUCGGGGUUAGAUACACUUGUGCCUAAGUUGUAGCUUUUCAUAGACAACUUGUUGACUAUGUUUAGUCAUGCGGCUUACUCGCUUGUGCUAUUUUACCUACGCUUAGGAUGUUGACGAGACUGUCGAUCUCAUCUAUACAUGACUCUGCGCAUAUCAAUAAGCGGAGGAAAAGAAACUAACAAGGAUUCCCUUAGUAACGGCGAGUGAAGCGGGAAGAGCUCAAAUUUGAAAUCUUCAAGGUUCUACCUUGACGAAUUGUAGUUUAUAGAAGUGUUUUCUGUUAGUGGAGUGGCAAAAGUUCUUUGGAAUAGGACAUCAUAGAGGGUGAGAAUCCCGUAUUUGGUCAUUCCUCCUAGCGUUGUGAUACACUUUCAACGAGUCGGAUUGUUUGGGAAUGCAGUCCAAAAUGGGUGGUAAAUUUCAUCUAAAGCUAAAUAUUGGCGAGAGACCGAUAGCGAACAAGUACCGUGAGGGAAAGAUGAAAAGAACUUUGAAAAGAGAGUUAAACAGUACGUGAAAUUGUCAAAAGGGAAGCGUUUGACACCAGUGUUGUUUUUCCGAAAAUCAAUUACGAAUGUUUUGUUUUUAAGAAGUUAUGACUUCAUCGGCUUGCUUCUUUCUUUACGAAACUUUCUUAAUGCACUUUUCGGUUAACAAGUCAACAUCAAUUUCUUUUGUUGUAAAAGGGUCAUUGGAGGGUGGCUUUCAUUUCGGUGAAAGUGUUUAUAGCCUUUGACCUCUGCAAUCGGAGAGAUUGAGGUCUGCAGCGUAGAUCCUUCGGGGUUAGAUACAUUUGUGCUAAGUUAUAGUUUUUCAUAGACAACCUGUUGACUAUGAUUAAUCAUGUAGCUUACUCGCUUAUGCUAUUUUACCUACGCUUAGGAUGUUGAUAGUCACAGCGUGUAC
rnacentral:rRNA from 1 species